GAUGAAGAACGUAGCGAAAUGCGAUACUUGGUGUGAAUUGCAGAAUCCCGUGAACCAUCGAGUCUUUGAACGCAAGUUGCGCCCGAAGCCAUUAGGCCGAGGGCACGCCUGCCUGGGCGUCACACGUCGUUGCCCCCCCCAUCUACUCCUUCGGGAUUGCGGGGGGCGGAUGAUGGCCUCCCGUGCGCCUCGCCGCGCGGUUGGCAUAGAUGCCAAGUCCUCGGCGACGCACGCCACGACAAUCGGUGGUUGCGAAACCUCGGUUGCCCGUCGUGUGCGGUCGUCGCGCAUCGAGGGCUCGAAAAAAUUGCCGAGUUCCGGCUCGGCUUUCAACGCGACCCCAGGUCAGGCGGGGUUACCCGCUGAAUUUGAGCAUAUCAAUAAGCGGAGGA
rnacentral:misc_RNA from 1 species